GACGAACGCUGGCGGCGUGCCUAAUACAUGCGAGUCGAACGCUUCUUUCCUCCCGAGUGCUUGCACUCAAUUGGAAAGAGGAGUGACGGACGGGUGAGUAACACGUGGGUAACCUACCCAUCAGAGGGGGAUAACACUUGGAAACAGGUGCUAAUACCGCAUAACAGUUUAUGCCGCAUGGCAUAAGAGUGAAAGGCGCUUUCGGGUGUCGCUGAUGGAUGGACCCGCGGUGCAUUAGCUAGUUGGUGAGGUAACGGCUCACCAAGGCCACGAUGCAUAGCCGACCUGAGAGGGUGAUCGGCCACACUGGGACUGAGACACGGCCCAGACUCCUACGGGAGGCAGCAGUAGGGAAUCUUCGGCAAUGGACGAAAGUCUGACCGAGCAACGCCGCGUGAGUGAAGAAGGUUUUCGGAUCGUAAAACUCUGUUGUUAGAGAAGAACAAGGACGUUAGUAACUGAACGUCCCCUGACGGUAUCUAACCAGAAAGCCACGGCUAACUACGUG
rnacentral:rRNA from 1 species